AAAGAUUUGUAUUUAUUUGUUUGCUUAUCUGUAAUCGAUAAAAUCUGAAACUACUGAACCGAUUUUGAUCAUUCUUUUACCAUUAGGAAGCUACUAUAU